CCCUUAGAGUUUGAUCCUGGCUCAGAUUGAACGCUGGCGGCAUGCCUUACACAUGCAAGUCGAACGGUAACAGGGAGCUUGCUCCGCUGACGAGUGGCGAACGGGUGAGUAAUACAUCGGAACGUGCCCAGUAAUGGGGGAUAGCUCGGCGAAAGCCGGAUUAAUACCGCAUACGCCCUGAGGGGGAAAGUGGAGGACCGCAAGGCCUCACGUUAUUGGAGCGGCCGAUGGCUGAUUAGCUAGUUGGUAGGGUAAAGGCCUACCAAGGCGACGAUCAGUAGCUGGUCUGAGAGGACGAUCAGCCACACUGGGACUGAGACACGGCCCAGACUCCUACGGGAGGCAGCAGUGGGGAAUUUUGGACAAUGGGGGAAACCCUGAUCCAGCAAUGCCGCGUGUGCGAAGAAGGCCUUCGGGUUGUAAAGCACUUUUGUCAGGGAAGAAAUCCUUUGGGCUAAUACCCUAGGGGGAUGACGGUACCUGAAGAAUAAGCACCGGCUAACUACGUGCCAGCAGCCGCGGUAAUACGUAGGGUGCAAGCGUUAAUCGGAAUUACUGGGCGUAAAGCGUGCGCAGGCGGUUGUGUAAGACAGGUGUGAAAUCCCCGGGCUUAACCUGGGAAUUGCAUUUGUGACUGCACGACUAGAGUGUGUCAGAGGGGGGUGGAAUUCCACGUGUAGCAGUGAAAUGCGUAGAUAUGUGGAGGAACACCAAUGGCGAAGGCAGCCCCCUGG
rnacentral:rRNA from 1 species